rnacentral:rRNA from 1 species
AGAAUGAACGCUGGCGGCGUGCUUAACACAUGCGAGUCGAGCGAGGCGGAAGGGGGCAACUCCUUCCAGUCGAGCGGCGGACGGGUGAGUAACACGUGGGUAACCUGCCCGGAAGUGGGGAAUACCUCGGGGAAACUCGAGUUAAUACCGCAUGACAUCUUCGGGACGAAAGUCCUGACGAUCAAAGCGGGGUCGCAAGAUCUCGCGCUACCGGAUCGGGCCCGCGCCCGAUUAGCUAGUUGGUGAGGUAACGGCUCACCAAGGCUUCGAUCGGUAACCGGCCUGAGCGGG